rnacentral:rRNA from 1 species
AGUGAACGCUGGCGGUAGGCCUAACACAUGCAAGUCGAACGGCAGCACAGUAAGAGCUUGCUCUUACGGGUGGCGAGUGGCGGACGGGUGAGGAAUACAUCGGAAUCUACUUUUUCGUGGGGGAUAACGUAGGGAAACUUACGCUAAUACCGCAUACGACCUACGGAUGAAAGCAGGGGAUCUUCGGACCUUGCGCGAUUGAAUGAGCCGAUGUCGGAUUAGCUAGUUGGCGGGGUAAAGGCCCACCAAGGCGACGAUCCGUAGCUGGUCUGAGAGGAUGAUCAGCCACACUGGAACUGAGACACGGUCCAGACUCCUACGGGAGGCAGCAGUGGGGAAUAUUGGACAAUGGGCGCAAGCCUGAUCCAGCCAUACCGCGUGGGUGAAGAAGGCCUUCGGGUUGUAAAGCCCUUUUGUUGGGAAAGAAAAGCAGCAGGUUAAUACCCCGCUGUUCUGACGGUACCCAAAGAAUAGGCACCGGCUAACUUCGUG